UUGAUCUCUUUUUCACUAAUAAAAAAUCUGAAAGAAUUACUUGAAAAGAAAAUGGUUAUCAGGCAUGGCUGUAAUGGUGGUGGUUUUGAUGGACCUAACUAUGCCAAAGUUUUAAAUUUAUUAGACGAAAUGACACUUCAUUCUCCAAUUGAAUAUCUGGAAUGUAUUUAAACCCUGAGGAUGUUUAAAGAAGCUGAAUGCUGUUUUGGGAUGAAACUCGAUAUAUCUUACAAAGAAAAAAUAGACAAGUUUGUGAAGUCCAUGCUUCACUUAAAAGUAUAUGUCUAUGAUGUAUUCUUAAUGAAGAUUUUACUUGGAUGGAAGUUUCACAUAAUCAGGUUCCCUCUCAAGUAGUAUCUCAAUAGGCAGAAGAUCUCGCUCGGUAUAACAUCAGAACAAACAUCUGUUUUGUGUGUGUCAGUUAAGAUGGAAAACUUGUUACAUUUCUAAUAGAUUUUUGACAAGAAGAUAAUUGCAACUAUUA